rnacentral:rRNA from 1 species
UAGGGAAUCUUCCACAAUGGGCGAAAGCCUGAUGGAGCAAUGCCGCGUGAGUGAAGAAGGAUUUCGGUUCGUAAAACUCUGUUGCAAGGGAAGAACAAGUAGCGUAGUAACUGGCGCUACCUUGACGGUACCUUGUUAGAAAGCCACGGCUAACUACGUGCCAGCAGCCGCGGUAAUACGUAGGUGGCAAGCGUUGUCCGGAAUUAUUGGGCGUAAAGCGCGCGCAGGUGGUUCCUUAAGUCUGAUGUGAAAGCCCACGGCUCAACCGUGGAGGGUCAUUGGAAACUGGGGAACUUGAGUGCAGAAGAGGAAAGUGGAAUUCCAAGUGUAGCGGUGAAAUGCGUAGAGAUUUGGAGGAACACCAGUGGCGAAGGCGACUUUCUGGUCUGUAACUGACACUGAGGCGCGAAAGCGUGGGGAGCAAACA